CCUACGGGAGGCAGCAGUGAGGAAUAUUGGACAAUGGGGGCAACCCUGAUCCAGCCAUGCCGCGUGAGUGACGAAGGCCUUAGGGUUGUAAAGCUCUUUCGGCUGUGAAGCAGUAGCAGCAGAAGAAGCCCCGGCUAAAUUCGUGCCAGCAGCCGCGGUAAUACGAAUGGGGCGAGCGUUGUUCGGAAUCACUGGGCGUAAAGCGUACGUAGGCGGACUGGAAAGUCAGAAGUGAAAUCCCGGGGCUUAACCCCGGAAUUGCUUUUGAAACUUCCAGUCUAGAGGCCCGGAGAGGUCAGCGGAAUUCCGAGUGUAGAGGUGAAAUUCGCAGAUAUUCGGAGGAACACCAGUUGCGUAGGCGGCUGGCUGAGGGCACUGACGCUGAGGUACGAAAGCGUGGGGAUCAAACAGGAUUAGAUACCCUUGUAGUC
rnacentral:rRNA from 1 species